rnacentral:rRNA from 1 species
UUGGACAAUGGGCGCAAGCCUGAUCCAGCCAUGCCGCGUGCAGGAUGAAGGCCUUCGGGUUGUAAACUGCUUUUGUACGGAACGAAAAGGUGCCUUCUAAUAAAGGGCGCUCAUGACGGUACCGUAAGAAUAAGCACCGGCUAACUACGUGCCAGCAGCCGCGGUAAUACGUAGGGUGAGAGCGUUAAUCGGAAUUACUGGGCGUAAAGCGUGCGCAGGCGGUUUUGUAAGACAGAGGUGAAAUCCCCGGGCUCAACCUGGGAACUGCCUUUGUGACUGCAAGGCUGGAGUGCGGCAGAGGGGGAUGGAAUUCCGCGUGUAGCAGUGAAAUGCGUAGAUAUGCGUAGGAACACCGAUGGCGAAGGCAAUCCCCUGGGCCUGCACUGACGCUCAUGCACGAAAGCGUGGGGAGCAAACA